GAAAAUCCCGCAAAGAAUUAGCUGGGCAUGGUAGCAUGUGCUUGUAAUCCCAGCAGUUCAGGAGGCUGACGUGAGAGAAUCUUGUUUCUGGAUGAUUGAGACUGCAGUGAGCCAUGAUUGCCUCGCUGCACUCCAGCAUGGGUGGCAGAGCAAGACCUUGUCUCAAAAAAAAAAAAAAUUACAAUAGAAUAGUCACUUCCUGCUAUAGAAGAAAAAUUUGAAAUUUUUGACUUACAAGCGGCCCCAUGAGAAACCCUGGGUGUGCGCAGCUCCAAUGCAGCGGUGGUCCCUCUCACUGUGUCUGGGUUUCUAGCCUGACAUGCCCUUGAGCUGAGGAUCAUGAACCACAGCUGCCAGGUUACGUGUGUGGCCUGGGUCCACUACGGUGUGGCCAAAGGGACACCAGACAAGGUAGAGCUGAGUAAAGAAGAAGUUAAACGUCUCAUUUCUGAGGCAAAGGAGAAACUCCAAGAAGAAGGUGGCAUUGAUGAAGAGGAGUCGUUCAGAAGGUGACAUGCAAAGUGAGUCCCUGGAGGAUGGUGACCCAGAGGAUGACAGGACGCAUGAUGAUGAUGAGCUGGCUGAAUGUGACUUAGAUAAAUACUAUUGAUGAGGAAGAUUACCCAGAUGCUGAGACUCUUGGUUAAUCUCUCUUGCGUCUUAUGGUCUAUGGGAGUUAUGAUCAGGAGGAUCGUUCCGUUGCUCUGAAAGAUGCGGAACAAUAUGUAAGUGAAGAUUUCUUGAUUAAGCCCAGUGAUAAUCUCACAGUUUGUGGCUCAGCUGAACAGGACCAGUGCAAUUUGGAGAUGCAUGUUUAUAAUCAAGAAGACUCUUUAUGUAAACCAUGAUAUACUCUUGUCUGCAUAUCCUCUUAGUGUGGACUGACUGAACUUUGAUCCUAGCCCAGAUGAUUCUACUGGAAAUUAUAUUGCUGUAGGAAAUAAUACCCCUGUUAUUAAAGUGUGGGACCUUGAUAUAGUGGACUCUUUAGAGCCCGUCUUCGCACUCAGAAGUAAACUUUCAAAAAAGAAGAAAAAGAAAGGAAAGAAGAGUUCCUCAGCAGAAGGGCACAAUGCUGCCUUGACCUUUCAUGGAAUAAGCUAAUCAGAAAUGUUUUGGCUAGUGCAUCAGCUGACAACACUGUCAUUCUGUGGGAUAUGUCGUUGGGGAAAGCAGCAGCUAGCCUCACUGUACACACAGACAACAUCCAGAUGCCGCAGUUUUCAUCCAUUUGCAGCACAGACUCUGAUUUCUGGCUCGUAUGACAAGUCAGUGGCUUUGUAUGACUGCCGAAGUCCAGAUGAAAGCCACUGAAUUUGGCGAUUCAGUGGGCAGAUAGAGAGAGUGACUUGGAAUCACUUUUCACCUUUUCAAUUUUUGGCCAGUACAGAUGACAGCUUUGUAUAUAAUUUGGAUGCAUGUUCAGAUAAGCCAGUUUUUACACUUAAUUCACACAAUGAUGAAAUCUCUGGUCAAAUCAAGGGCCUGUCUCGUGACUGCUUCAGCAGACAAAUAUGUGAAGACCUAGGACAUCUUAAGGAGAUAGGCCAAGUCUAGUUCAUUCUAGGGACAUGAAAAUGGGAAUUCUCUUCCGUUCUUCAUGUUUUCCUGAUUUGCCAUUUAUUUAUGCCUUUGAAAGUGAAAAAGAAGGGCUUCGGAUCUGGGAUAUAAGCACAGUCUCUUCAGUAAAUGAAGCAUUUGGAAGACGAGAGGCUUGUUCUCGGGAGUGCAAGAAAUUAAUCUGUUAGUGGCCCUUUUGGCAGCAGGAGCUCAGACGCACCCAUGGAGUCUUAAUGAAGAUCAUCUAAUUUCCUGUUUACCUUAACUGGGAAUUUUAAAAAGUUGGCCUACAAACCUUCCAUGUGUGGCAGCAACCAUGCAGAGUGACUGAAACACAAUUCAUUUCUGACUGACAUUCCUUUCUGCAACUGUGGUGGCACCACAAACACAGUCGGUCUUUGUGCUUAUUCUUGAGACAGAUGGUUUGUAAGGCUCUUGUUGCAUUUCUUAAAAAGAAUAAUAGGGCCGGGCG